AACAACGUAGAUGAGGUGGUUAAGGCGAUGGGCUGUUAAUCCAUUGGGCUCUGCCCGCGAGGGUUCGAAACCCUUCAUCGUCG